ACGCUGGCGGCGUGCUUAACACAUGCAAGUCGAACGGGGGAUAGCGACGGAAGUCCUUCGGGGUGGAAGAUGCUAUUCGAGUGGCGGACGGGUGAGUAACGCGUGACCAAUCUGUCCCAGACAGGGGGAUAACACUUGGAAACAGGUGCUAAUACCGCGUGAGACCACGAGGUCGCAUGGCCUUGAGGUAAAAGGAGCGAUCCGGUUUGGGGUGAGUUCGCGUCCGAUUAGCCAGUUGGCGGGGUAACGGCCCACCAAAGCGACGAUCGGUAGCCGAUCUGAGAGGAUGACCGGCCACAUUGGAACUGAGAGACGGUCCAAACUCCUACGGGAGGCAGCAGUGGGGAAUAUUGGGCAAUGGGCGAAAGCCUGACCCAGCAACGCCGCGUGAGUGAAGAAGGCCUUCGGGUUGUAAAGCUCUGUUAUAGGGGACGAAGGAAGUGACGGUACCCUAUAAGGAAGCCCCGGCUAACUACGUGCCAGCCGCCGC
rnacentral:rRNA from 1 species